GUGCAGCAGGCGCGAAAACUUUACAAUGUGCGAAAGCACGAUAAGGGAACUCUGAGUGCCUCCUAAGGAGGCUGUUCAGGUGUCUAAAAGCACCUGAAGGAAGGGCUGGGUAAGACCGGUGCCAGCCGCCGCGGUAACACCGGCAGCCCAAGUGGUAGCCACGUUUAUUGGGUCUAAAGCGUCCGUAGCCGGCUGGGUAAGUUCCUUGGGAAAUUUGGCUGCUUAACAGUCAAGCUUUCAGGGAAUACUGCCCGGCUUGGGGACCGGGAGAGGACAGAGGUACUCCAGGGGUAGGGGUGAAAUCCAUUAAUCCUUGGGGGACCACCGGUAGCGAAGGCGUCUGACCAGACCGGGUCCGACGGUGAGGGACGAAGGCUAGGGGCGCGAACCGGAUUAGAUACCCCGGGGUAGU
rnacentral:rRNA from 1 species